GGUUAUGGCUCAGCGGUAGAGCGCUCGCCUUGCACAUGCAAGGCCCUGGGUUCGAUCCUCAGCACCA
rnacentral:tRNA from 1 species